rnacentral:rRNA from 1 species
UACGUAGGGGGCAAGCGUUGUCCGGAUUUAUUGGGCGUAAAGAGCGUGUAGGCGGCCAGACAGGUCAGCUGUGAAAACUCGAGGCUCAACCUCGAGACGUCGGUUGAAACCGUCUGGCUAGAGUCCGGAAGAGGAGAGUGGAAUUCCCGGUGUAGCGGUGAAAUGCGUAGAGAUCGGGAGGAACACCAGAGGCGAAGGCGGCGACCUGGACAGGUACUGACACUCAACUACGAAAGCGUGGGGAGCAAACAGG